UACGUAGGGUGCAAGCGUUGUCCGGAAUUAUUGGGCGUAAAGAGCUUGUAGGCGGUUUGUCGCGUCUGCUGUGAAAUUUCGGGGCUCAACCCCGAACUUGCAGUGGGUACGGGCAGACUAGAGUGUGGUAGGGGAGACUGGAAUUCCUGGUGUAGCGGUGAAAUGCGCAGGAUAUCGGGAGGAACACCGGUGGCGAAGGCGGUUCUCUGGGCCUUACCUGACGCUGAGGAGCGAAAGCGUGGGGAGCGAACAGG
rnacentral:rRNA from 1 species